UCCAGACUCCUACGGGAGGCAGCAGUGGGGAAUAUUGGGCAAUGGAGGAAACUCUGACCCAGCAACGCCGCGUGAAGGAUGAAGGUUUUCGGAUUGUAAACUUCUGUUGCGAGGGAUGAAGAAUGACGGUACCUCGUGAGGAAGCCCCGGCAAACUACGUGCCAGCAGCCGCGGUAAUACGGAGGAUGCGAGCGUUAUCCGGAUUUAUUGGGUUUAAAGGGUGCGUAGGCGGAAUGCCAAGUCAGCGGUAAAAUCGGGGGGCUCAACCUCGCUCCGCCGUUGAAACUGGCGUUCUUGAGUGGGCGAGAAGUAUGCGGAAUGCGUGGUGUAGCGGUGAAAUGCAUAGAUAUCACGCAGAACUCCGAUUGCGAAGGCAGCAUACCGGCGCCCAACUGACGCUGAAGCACGAAAGCGUGGGUAUCGAACAGGAUUAGAUACCCUAGUA
rnacentral:rRNA from 1 species